CCGGGCAGCCCGGGCCGGCCGGGCCCACCCUCCCCCCUCCCUAGCUGAUUGGCUCAGGCGGCCCGUUCUCCGCCCGUGAUUGUGCCGGGUCCCCAAUCCCAUUCGCCCAUGCCGCGGCCACGCCGCCCUGGGGGGCUAUGGAUCAUAUUGGAGCCACCGCCUCUAGUCUCUCGGCGGCCGUCAGGACGCGAUUGGUCCGCGGAGAGCAGAGAGGCGGAAAACCCGGGCUGGAUUUCUGGUGGCUUUUGUUCCCGCAAAUUUACGUGGAGCAUUGUUUUUGGGCGAAAACGGGGCCUUCGGCCUUCCUGCUUUAUUCCUGAGCGGUGUAAGAGGGAGGUAGUGGGUAUCUUCGAGAAACGGCCGCCGCGGGGUCCGGAGCCCCGGGUUCCAAUCCCGGGUCGGCCACUGCUAAGCUGUGUGACCUUGGGUGAGUCACUUGGCCUCUCUGAGCCCCAGGCGCCUCCCCGGGAAAAUGAGGGUAAUAGUAACCGCUCCCGGGGGUUUGUGCGAAGGUGUUCAGCUCACAGAGGGCCGGCACCGGCACUUUUGAGGCGGCUGACUUGCCCUGGGGGUGUGAUGGGAGGUGCAAGCUUUCUCCAAAAGCCUCCUCCAAAUGGAGCCUUUAAAUCCGCCUUCUUUCCGCGGCUACUCCACCAGCUCGCCAAACCGAGAAAAUGCAAACACAGGGGCGGGGGCAAGGGAGCUGACCUGGCUGGAAGUAAACAGAAACGCCACCCCUCCCCUGGCACUUGCAUUGGCACCGGAGGAUUGCAGGUGGGGGAAGGGCCUCUGCACCCAACCACCUUUAAAUCCCACCACUUACACACAGGCAAAGAAGCAGAGCCGUGGCGGCUGGACGCUCAUUCCUCCCCUGCCCUUCCCCUAGAGCGCUGCUUUGAAUGUCUGUUGAUCUAGAACGGGGUCUGUUCAUUCAUGGGUUCCAGGUCCCAAGCGCCCGGGGGCAGCUGAGAGCAAAGCUGGCGCCCUCCCUACCCCGUGGAGCUCACACUCUGGUUCUGGGCAGUGCACAGUAGAGAUUGGUUGAAUCAGUGAAUGAACUUUUUCAGGAUAUGAUCCAAGGUGCUGAAAACUUCCUAACAAAACUCUUCAGCCGAAUCUGGCACGCCUAUGGUUCCAGCUACUGGGUAGACUGAGGCAGGAGGAUCGCUUGAGGCCAAGAGUUCAAGGCCAACCUGGGCAACAUGAAGUCGGCGUGGCUCAGCUCAGUCCAGUUCACAACAAAUAUGAAAUCCCUGCCCUACAGGACCAGGCCUCAGGAAGGGCUUGGGGGCCUCAGAGGCAAAUGAGACCAGGUCCAUCAACCAUACAGAACUGACAACCUGGACUCCCCACUCUGAAGGCACCUACUGUCUCACCCUUCCCUGACUCUGCCCGUGCACAAGGUGACCCCGGCUGCAAGCGUGCCAGGAGCUUUUCUCCACCUCUGCCUCAACAUCUGCCGCCUCUCCUCCUCUGGAGAGGGAGGCAGCUGAAGGACACCAGCCCCACGCCUUGCUGGAGCAGCUGAGAUCGCUGGGAGGAGGUUGGGAGAGGACUCAGGGGCUCAGGCUAGAUCAGGAGGGUGUGCCCUGCCUCCUUGUGAGGGGGCCCAGCACCACGGGGAGCCCACAGUGUAGGGUGCUGUUCAGCCAAAUUGGUUACCACUGGGUGUGAGGUCUGUGGUUGUGCAGGGUUGAAGGGCUGGGUGUCAUUUGCCUCUGAGGCCCCCGAGCCCUUCCUGAGGCCUGGUCCUAUAGGUCAAGGAUGGGCUAUUUGUUGUGAACUGGAUUGCGCUGAGAGCCACACUCAUGUUUAGGGGGAAAUGCCAUUGUACUGGUUUCCUGUGACUGCCCUACAAAUAACCACAAAGAGGCAAGGGGAGAAGUGGGGCUGUCCCUUCCAUAGGGCUGCAGUCAAGCACAAAUGACUCUAAUGGUAUUAAUUUUGAGAGAGAGAGAGAGAUUUGGAGUUCACCACAAAUUCUCCAAACAAACAAUUUUACAAGGAGGACAUGACCCGCCUGGCAUUACUGCUUAGGUCUGAAUGAGUGAUACUGACUGCAGCAGGUGACCAGGCCAAGCCCAGAAAUGGGCCACGGGGACCCCAAGCACAUGCUCUUCCCCCAGACUGCCGCCAUCUUGCUUUUCCUUCAGACCUAGGACCCUACGAGAGGAGGGAUCUGGAGGCCAGGACAGGAGCAGGACAACACAAACAGAGGCCUCAGAAGAAGACUCAGAGUGGGACAGGGGUUCCUUAAGUGACGGGGGCUGGAAGUGCACAGAGAAGCCUGGUGCAGCAGGGAAUUUUCUCUCCCUGGGGUGCUGCCAAGGUGUCUGUUGCUUGCCAGCUUUUCCAGCCAUGACUGCAGACAAAGUCCACCUAGAGUCAUAAAUGGGCAAUCAGCCCCGAACAACGUCCAGCCCCGGUUUCUGCACGGCGAGGCGUUUUUGUCCGUGGCAGACCUGCUUACCCGGGUGUCUUUGGUGUGGGGCUAGAUGCAGCAUUUCCCCAGUGGGAAUGGCCUGGGGUCUUAUUUAAAGUGGAGGGUCCUAGGCCUGGCCCCACGUAUGGAGUCAGGAUCCCUAGGGGUAGGACCUUGGAAUCCGCAUUUUUUUUGAGACAGGGUCUCACUCUGUCACCCAGGCAGUGGCACGAUCUCAGCUCUCUGA